ensembl:lincRNA Pantr1 POU domain, class 3, transcription factor 3 adjacent noncoding transcript 1
GAGUUUGGAGGGUGCCGGUCAACGAAGCCACGCGAGGUAUUUGAAAGGCAAUCAGCCCGACCGUCCCCCUAGAUUCAUCGGAGAAGGAACUCAGUGAAUAUUGCCCUGGGUCCUGGUAAUUCCACCUACUGAAGACAACUGCCCCUUCUGCUCAUAUUUCCUGAGUCAACAUGGCCGUUCCUAACUUUGAAGAGACUUUAGACAUUCUUUGUUACAAUGAACCUAGAAGAAAGAAGAGAAAUAAUAACUGCCAUGGAAGGAUGCUCCUCCUGCCAAUUGGCACUUAUCAAUGACAUCGAGGGAGAGGGACAGAGUGCCUAGGUAUGAGCCUUCAUCAAGUGGUAUGAAGGCCCUACCCCAACAGAAAGUGCUGAUGUGAUGAAAUGGUGCUUUGGACAAGACUUUUCCUCCAAGUUGGUCCUAUCCAGGGGUUGGCAAACAGGGUCCCUGGACAUCAUCCAUGUGGCAUACUCUUAUGAAUAAAGUUCUAUAGGACACA